AACGAACGCUGGCGGCAUGCCUAACACAUGCAAGUCGAACGAGACCUUCGGGUCUAGUGGCGCACGGGUGCGUAACGCGUGGGAACCUGCCCUUAGGUUCGGAAUAACUCCCCGAAAGGGGUGCUAAUACCGGAUAAUGUCUUCGGACCAAAGAUUUAUCGCCUUUGGAUGGGCCCGCGUUGGAUUAGCUAGUUGGUAGGGUAAAAGCCUACCAAGGCGACGAUCCAUAGCUGGUCUGAGAGGAUGAUCAGCCACACUGGGACUGAGACACGGCCCAGACUCCUACGGGAGGCAGCAGUGGGGAAUAUUGGACAAUGGGCGAAAGCCUGAUACAGCAAUGCCGCGUGAGUGAUGAAGGCCUUAGGGUUGUAAAGCUCUUUUACCCGGGAUGAUAAUGACAGUACCGGGAGAAUAAGCACCGACUAACUCCGUG
rnacentral:rRNA from 1 species